rnacentral:rRNA from 1 species
GGGUUGUGAGGUUAAGCGACUAAGCGUACACGGUGGAUGCCCUGGCAGUCAGAGGCGAUGAAGGACGUGCUAAUCUGCGAUAAGCGUCGGUAAGGUGAUAUGAACCGUUAUAACCGGCGAUUUCCGAAUGGGGAAACCCAGUGUGUUUCGACACACUAUCAUUAACUGAAUCCAUAGGUUAAUGAGGCGAACCGGGGGAACUGAAACAUCUAAGUACCCCGAGGAAAAGAAAUCAACCGAGAUUCCCCCAGUAGCGGCGAGCGAACGGGGAGCAGCCCAGAGCCUGAAUCAGUAUGUGUGUUAGUGGAAGCGUCUGGAAAGGCGCGCGAUACAGGGUGACAGCCCCGUACACAAAAAUGCACAUGCUGUGAGCUCGAUGAGUAGGGCGGGACACGUGGUAUCCUGUCUGAAUAUGGGGGGACCAUCCUCCAAGGCUAAAUACUCCUGACUGACCGAUAGUGAACCAGUACCGUGAGGGAAAGGCGAAAAGAACCCCGGCGAGGGGAGUGAAAAAGAACCUGAAACCGUGUACGUACAAGCAGUGGGAGCACGCUUAGGCGUGUGACUGCGUACCUUUUGUAUAAUGGGUCAGCGACUUAUAUUCUGUAGCAAGGUUAACCGAAUAGGGGAGCCGAAGGGAAACCGAGUCUUAACUGGGCGUUAAGUUGCAGGGUAUAGACCCGAAACCCGGUGAUCUAGCCAUGGGCAGGUUGAAGGUUGGGUAACACUAACUGGAGGACCGAACCGACUAAUGUUGAAAAAUUAGCGGAUGACUUGUGGCUGGGGGUGAAAGGCCAAUCAAACCGGGAGAUAGCUGGUUCUCCCCGAAAGCUAUUUAGGUAGCGCCUCGUGAAUUCAUCUCCGGGGGUAGAGCACUGUUUCGGCAAGGGGGUCAUCCCGACUUACCAACCCGAUGCAAACUGCGAAUACCGGAGAAUGUUAUCACGGGAGACACACGGCGGGUGCUAACGUCCGUCGUGAAGAGGGAAACAACCCAGACCGCCAGCUAAGGUCCCAAAGUCAUGGUUAAGUGGGAAACGAUGUGGGAAGGCCCAGACAGCCAGGAUGUUGGCUUAGAAGCAGCCAUCAUUUAAAGAAAGCGUAAUAGCUCACUGGUCGAGUCGGCCUGCGCGGAAGAUGUAACGGGGCUAAACCAUGCACCGAAGCUGCGGCAGCGACGCUUAUGCGUUGUUGGGUAGGGGAGCGUUCUGUAAGCCUGUGAAGGUGUGCUGUGAGGCAUGCUGGAGGUAUCAGAAGUGCGAAUGCUGACAUAAGUAACGAUAAAGCGGGUGAAAAGCCCGCUCGCCGGAAGACCAAGGGUUCCUGUCCAACGUUAAUCGGGGCAGGGUGAGUCGACCCCUAAGGCGAGGCCGAAAGGCGUAGUCGAUGGGAAACAGGUUAAUAUUCCUGUACUUGGUGUUACUGCGAAGGGGGGACGGAGAAGGCUAUGUUGGCCGGGCGACGGUUGUCCCGGUUUAAGCGUGUAGGCUGGUUUUCCAGGCAAAUCCGGAAAAUCAAGGCUGAGGCGUGAUGACGAGGCACUACGGUGCUGAAGCAACAAAUGCCCUGCUUCCAGGAAAAGCCUCUAAGCAUCAGGUAACAUCAAAUCGUACCCCAAACCGACACAGGUGAUCAGGUAGAGAAUACCAAGGCGCUUGAGAGAACUCGGGUGAAGGAACUAGGCAAAAUGGUGCCGUAACUUCGGGAGAAGGCACGCUGAUAUGUAGGUGAAGUCCCUCGCGGAUGGAGCUGAAAUCAGUCGAAGAUACCAGCUGGCUGCAACUGUUUAUUAAAAACACAGCACUGUGCAAACACGAAAGUGGACGUAUACGGUGUGACGCCUGCCCGGUGCCGGAAGGUUAAUUGAUGGGGUCAGCGCAAGCGAAGCUCUUGAUCGAAGCCCCGGUAAACGGCGGCCGUAACUAUAACGGUCCUAAGGUAGCGAAAUUCCUUGUCGGGUAAGUUCCGACCUGCACGAAUGGCGUAAUGAUGGCCAGGCUGUCUCCACCCGAGACUCAGUGAAAUUGAACUCGCUGUGAAGAUGCAGUGUACCCGCGGCAAGACGGAAAGACCCCGUGAACCUUUACUAUAGCUUGACACUGAACAUUGAGCCUUGAUGUGUAGGAUAGGUGGGAGGCUUUGAAGUGUGGACGCCAGUCUGCAUGGAGCCGACCUUGAAAUACCACCCUUUAAUGUUUGAUGUUCUAACGUUGACCCGUAAUCCGGGUUGCGGACAGUGUCUGGUGGGUAGUUUGACUGGGGCGGUCUCCUCCUAAAGAGUAACGGAGGAGCACGAAGGUUGGCUAAUCCUGGUCGGACAUCAGGAGGUUAGUGCAAUGGCAUAAGCCAGCUUGACUGCGAGCGUGACGGCGCGAGCAGGUGCGAAAGCAGGUCAUAGUGAUCCGGUGGUUCUGAAUGGAAGGGCCAUCGCUCAACGGAUAAAAGGUACUCCGGGGAUAACAGGCUGAUACCGCCCAAGAGUUCAUAUCGACGGCGGUGUUUGGCACCUCGAUGUCGGCUCAUCACAUCCUGGGGCUGAAGUAGGUCCCAAGGGUAUGGCUGUUCGCCAUUUAAAGUGGUACGCGAGCUGGGUUUAGAACGUCGUGAGACAGUUCGGUCCCUAUCUGCCGUGGGCGCUGGAGAACUGAGGGGGGCUGCUCCUAGUACGAGAGGACCGGAGUGGACGCAUCACUGGUGUUCGGGUUGUCAUGCCAAUGGCACUGCCCGGUAGCUAAAUGCGGAAGAGAUAAGUGCUGAAAGCAUCUAAGCACGAAACUUGCCCCGAGAUGAGUUCUCCCUGACUCCUUGAGAGUCCUGAAGGAACGUUGAAGACGACGACGUUGAUAGGCCGGGUGUGUAAGCGCAGCGAUGCGUUGAGCUAACCGGUACUAAUGAACCGUGAGGCUUAACCUUACAACGCCGAAGGUGUUU